GUUCCCAUGCCGAACACGGAAGUUAAGCACUUGAACGCCGAAAGUAGUUGGGGGCUUCCCCCUGUGAGGAUAGGACGUUGCCAGGC
rnacentral:rRNA from 1 species